AUUGAACGCUGGCGGCAGGCCUAACACAUGCAAGUCGAGCGAGCGGCGGACGGGUGAGUAAUGUAUGGGGACUGCCCGAUAGAGGGGGAUAACUACUGGAAACGGUGGCUAAUACCGCAUACUAUCGGAUAACCCAUAUGGGAUUAGCUAGUAGGUGGGGUAAAGGCUCACCUAGGCGACGAUGUCUAGCUGGUCUGAGAGGAUGAUCAGCCACACGUGGUCUGAGACACGGUCCAUACUCCUGCGGAGGCAGCAGUGGGGAAUAUUGCACAGUGGGCGCAAGCCUGAUUCAGCCAUGCCGCUUGUGGGAAGAAGGCCUUCGGGUUGUAAAGCACUUUCAGCGAGGAUGCGUUACUCGCAGAAGAAGCACCGGCUAACUCCGUGCCAGCAGCCGCGGUAAUAC
rnacentral:rRNA from 1 species